rnacentral:misc_RNA from 1 species
UCCCAUUUAUUGUGGGCAGUUUUUGCAGUUUUCUCAAAAAGAAGUAAAUGCAAGUUGAGGUUGCGCUCGUUAAGGGACUUAACCAAACAUCUUACGACACGAGCUGACGACAGCCAUGCAACACCUGUGAUAAUUCAAGCCAUUGUAUUUUCUUAGUCUUUUUUGUAAAAAAAAGCAUUAUCAUUUCAAGAACUGGUAAGGUUAGGCGCGUAGUAUCGCAUUAAACCACAUGUUCCACCACUUGUAUAGACCCCCGUCAAUUCCUUUGAGUUUCAACCUUGCGGUCAUACUUCUCCGGCGGGGUGCUUCACGCGUUCGCUUUUUCUGAAUAAAUAUAUUUUUAUCCCUUAGCACCCAGAUUUUAGGGUGUGGACUAC